rnacentral:rRNA from 1 species
AUAAGCGCACACGGUGGAUGCCUAGGCGGUCAGAGGCGAUGAAGGACGUGGUAGCCUGCGAAAAGUGUCGGGGAGCUGGCAACAAGCUUUGAUCCGGCAAUGUCCGAAUGGGGAAACCCACUGCUUCGGCAGUAUCCUGCAGUGAAUUCAUAGCUGCUGGAAGCGAACCCGGUGAACUGAAAUAUCUAAGUAACCGGAGGAAAAGAAAUCAACCGAGAUUCCCUAAGUAGUGACGAGCGAACGGGGAACAGCCCUUAAGCUGGAAUGGCUUUAGAAAAACAAUCUGGAAAGAUUGGCCAUAGAAGGUGAUAGCCCUGUAUUUAAAAGGGCCACUCCAGUGAAGACGAGUAGGGCGGGGCACGUGAAACCCUGUCUGAAUAUGGGGGGACCAUCCUCCAAGGCUAAAUACUCCUGACCGACCGAUAGUGAACCAGUACCGUGAGGGAAAGGCGAAAAGAACCCCGGAGAGGGGAGUGAAAUAGAUCCUGAAACCGUGUGCGUACAAGCAGUAGGAGCUCGCAAGAGUGACUGCGUACCUUUUGUAUAAUGGGUCAGCGACUUACUGUUCGUGGCAAGCUUAACCGUAUAGGGGAGGCGAAGGGAAACCGAGUCUGAUAAGGGCGCAUAGUCGCGGGCAGUAGACCCGAAACCGGGUGAUCUAGUCAUGGCCAGGGUGAAGGUGCCGUAACAGGUACUGGAGGCCCGAACCCACGUCUGUUGCAAAAGACGGGGAUGAGCUGUGAUUAGGAGUGAAAAGCUAAUCGAACCCGGAGAUAGCUGGUUCUCCUCGAAAGCUAUUUAGGUAGCGCCUCGGACGAAUACUACUGGGGGUAGAGCACUGUUAUGGCUAGGGGGUCAUCGCGACUUACCAAACCAUUGCAAACUCCGAAUACCAGUACGUACUAUCCGGGAGACACACGGCGGGUGCUAACGUCCGUCGUGAAAAGGGAAACAACCCAGACCCACAGCUAAGGUCCCAAAUUCACUGCUAAGUGGAAAACGAUGUGGAAAGGCAUAGACAGCCAGGAGGUUGGCUUAGAAGCAGCCACCCUUUAAAGAAAGCGUAAUAGCUCACUGGUCGAGUCGGUCUGCGCGGAAGAUUUAACGGGGCUAAGCAGUGAACCGAAGCUUGGGGUGCAUAAAACUUGUUUUAUGCGCGGUAGAGGAGCGUUCCGUAAGCCUGCGAAGGUGGAUUGAGAAGUCUGCUGGAGGUAUCGGAAGUGCGAAUGCUGACAUGAGUAACGAUAAUGCGGGUGAAAAGCCCGCACGCCGAAAGCCCAAGGUUUCCUUGCGCAACGUUAAUCGACGCAGGGUUAGUCGGUCCCUAAGGCGAGGGCGAAAGCCGUAGUCGAUGGGAAGCAGGUUAAUAUUCCUGCACCUCGCGUGAGUGCGAUGGAGGGACGGAGAAGGUUAGGUGUACCGGGCGUUGGUUGUCCCGGGGAAAGGCGGUAGGUUUGGAUCUUUGGCAAAUCCGGGAUCCUUUAAGACCGAGCACCGAGACGAGCCUUUAUGGCGAAGUCACUGAUACCACGCUUCCAGGAAAAGCUCCUAAGCUUCAGCUCACGAAGACCGUACCGUAAACCGACACAGGUGGGUAGGAUGAGAAUUCUCAGGCGCUUGAGAGAACUCGGGUGAAGGAACUAGGCAACAUGGCACCGUAACUUCGGGAGAAGGUGCACCCUUUUUGGUGGCUCAUGCGAGCUAUAGCUGAAGAGGGUCGCAGAAACCAGGCCGCUGCGACUGUUUAUCAAAAACACAGCACUCUGCAAACACGAAAGUGGACGUAUAGGGUGUGACGCCUGCCCGGUGCUGGAAGGUUAAUUGAUGGGGUCAGCCGCAAGGCGAAGCUCUUGAUCGAAGCCCCAGUAAACGGCGGCCGUAACUAUAACGGUCCUAAGGUAGCGAAAUUCCUUGUCGGGUAAGUUCCGACCUGCACGAAUGGCGUAACGACAGCGGCGCUGUCUCCACCCGAGACUCAGUGAAAUUGAAAUCGCUGUGAAGAUGCAGCGUUCCCGUGGCAAGACGGAAAGACCCCGUGAACCUUUACUAUAGCUUUACACUGAACGUUGAGUUCGUCUGUGUAGGAUAGGUGGGAGGCUAUGAAACUGUGGCGCUAGCUGCAGGGGAGCCAUCCUUGAAAUACCACCCUGUCGUGCUUGACGUUCUAACCUAGAUCCGUUAUCCGGAUCAGGGACCGUGUAUGGUGGGUAGUUUGACUGGGGCGGUCUCCUCCUAAAGAGUAACGGAGGAGCACGAAGGUACGCUCAGCGCGGUCGGACAUCGCGCACUGUGUGCAAAGGCAUAAGCGUGCUUGACUGCAAGAUCGACGGAUCAAGCAGGUACGAAAGUAGGUCUUAGUGAUCCGGUGGUUCUGUAUGGAAGGGCCAUCGCUCAACGGAUAAAAGGUACUCCGGGGAUAACAGGCUGAUACCGCCCAAGAGUUCAUAUCGACGGCGGUGUUUGGCACCUCGAUGUCGGCUCAUCACAUCCUGGGGCUGUAGUCGGUCCCAAGGGUAUGGCUGUUCGCCAUUUAAAGUGGUACGCGAGCUGGGUUCAGAACGUCGUGAGACAGUUCGGUCCCUAUCUGCCAUGGGCGUUGGAAGUUUGAGAGGGGCUGCUCCUAGUACGAGAGGACCGGAGUGGACGAACCUCUGGUGUUCCGGUUGUCACGCCAGUGGCAUUGCCGGGUAGCUAUGUUCGGAAGCGAUAACCGCUGAAAGCAUCUAAGCGGGAAGCGCGCCUCAAGAUGAGACUUCCCGGGGCACAAGCCCCCUAAAGGAACCAUGUAGACUACGUGGUUGAUAGGUCAGGUGUGUAAGUACAGCAAUGUAUUGAGCUAACUGAUACUAAUGAUCCGUGCGGCUUGACC